UACGAAGGGGGCUAGCGUUGUUCGGAAUCACUGGGCGUAAAGCGCACGUAGGCGGAUUGUUAAGUCAGGGGUGAAAUCCUGGAGCUCAACUCCAGAACUGCCUUUGAUACUGGGAAGCUCGAGUCCGGAAGAGGUGAGUGGAACUCCGAGUGUAGAGGUGAAAUUCGUAGAUAUUCGGAAGAACACCAGUGGCGAAGGCGGCUCACUGGUCCGGUACUGACGCUGAGGUGCGAAAGCGUGGGGAGCAAACAGG
rnacentral:rRNA from 1 species